ACGAGCCAUUCUUGGCAGGAGGAGAUCACAACUCCACUAGCACUAGCCUCAGCUUUUCGUACAUGCUAAUGCUGCGAAGAGCAAGAGGAGAAUUAAUUAAAACCGCAGUAGGUGGUCCGUUGUCGAGAUCUGUUCAGAGCGUUCCAAACCUAUCUGCUGUGGAUGUACAAGUUCUUGAAUUUAUUAACACCUAGCGAGGAAGCUGCUAGUGGCACAAAAAGAAGAAGAAAGAAAAGAAACCUGCUGGUGCUGGGCUACACAAGUCGAGACAAAUCCAUAUCGAUGCCCCGCCCCCAAAAAAACCCUCCUCGCAAUGUGUAAUUAGUUUAUAAUCUCUUGCAAUUUCCCACGUAGGGCUUACCUUAUAGUCUCCUUAGGCCACUAUAAAUACCCUUGUAAACCCCCUCGAGGCCAUCACCUCCCAAGCAGUGACCUCUAGCUAGCCCUGCAAAUCAAGCCUUGCUGAUAUAAAAAAAAUGAAGCUCUCUUUUGCAGCACUGCUGCUACUUUCAGUGGUCCUCCUGUCCUCUUUCCUUCGGUUCACCAUGGCUGUGCCCAACCACGUCGCGUCACCUCCACCUCCCUCCCCAGCAAUUCCAAGUUUCUGUGAUCCAAAGUGCAAGGCUAGGUGUGCCAAGGCGGGAUACUACCAACGCUGCUAUGACUACUGUAUAAUCUGCUGCAAAGAUUGCAAGUGUGUGCCUUCAGGGACUUACGGAAACAAGUCAGAAUGUCCAUGCUACAGAGACAAGUUGAACUCAAAGGGCACCUCCAAAUGCCCUUAAGAAAUCCAUUAUCCCAACCUUUAUUUUCCCUUUUCACUCAAUAAAAUGCAACAACUUGUACUUAGACGUUUCCAAAAACUGAAUCUAUAUAUUCAUGACUGUUAGUAGCAUUGUAAUAAGAAGUCGGAGAGCCAUAAUGUUGAAUAAAUAGCGUAGUCGUUUCUGGUCUUUCUUGUCUCAUUGACUGUUGUGCACGAGCUGAGUUCUUAAAAAAUGUGAUUCUCCGGUUUCCUAGUA